rnacentral:tRNA from 1 species
GCCGAAGUGGCGGAAUUGGCAGACGCGCUAGAUUCAGGUUCUAGUGGAUUCACGUCCAUGGGGGUUCGAGUCCCCCCUUCGGCACCA